GAUGAACGCUGGCGGCGUGCCUAAUACAUGCAAGUCGAGCGAACAGACGAGGAGCUUGCUCCUCUGACGUUAGCGGCGGACGGGUGAGUAACACGUGGAUACCCUACCUAUAAGACUGGGAUAACUUCGGGAAACCGGAGCUAAUACCGGAUAAUAUAUUGAACCGCAUGGUUCAAUAGUGAAAGACGGUUUUGCUGUCCCUUAUAGAUGGAUCCGCGCCGCAUUAGCUAGUUGGUAAGGUAACGGCUUACCAAGGCAACGAUGGGUAGCCGACCUGAAAGGGGAAUCGGCCAAACUGGAACUGAGACAGGGUCCAGACUCCAACGGGAGGCGGAAGUAGGAAAUCUUCCGCAAGGGGCGAAAGCCGGACGAAGCAACGCCGCGUGAGGAAUGAAGGUCUUCGGAUCGUAAAACUCUGUUAUUAGGGAAGAAAAAAUGUGUAAGUAACUAUGCACGGAUUGACGGUACCUAAUCAGAAGACCACGGCUAACUACGU
rnacentral:rRNA from 1 species